rnacentral:rRNA from 1 species
ACGCUCGACACCUACAGGCAGCAGUAGGGAAUCUUCCACAAUGGGCGCAAGCCUGAUGGAGCAACACCGCGUGAGUGAAGAAGGGUUUCGGCUCGUAAAGCUCUGUUGUUGGAGAAGAACGUGCGUGAGAGUAACUGUUCACGCAGUGACGGUAUCCAACCAGAAAGUCACGGCUAACUACGUGCCAGCAGCCGNGGUAGUAUNGCGGCGNGNGAGAG